rnacentral:rRNA from 1 species
UGGGGGAUAUUGCACAAUGGGCGAAAGCCUGAUGCAGCGACGCCGCGUGGGGGAUGAAGGCUUUCGGGUUGUAAACCUCUUUCGCUAUCGAACAAGGCCCGCUUAGGGUGGGUUGAGGGUAGGUGGAGAAGAAGCGCCGGCUAACUACGUGCCAGCAGCCGCGGUAAUACGUAGGGCGCGAGCGUUGUCCGGAAUUAUUGGGCGUAAAGGGCUUGUAGGCGGCUUGUUGCGCCUGCUGUGAAAACGCGGGGCUUAACUUCGCGCGUGCAGUGGGUACGGGCAGGCUUGAGGGUGGUAGGGGUGACUGGAAUUCCAGGUGUAGCGGUGGAAUGCGCAGAUAUCUGGAGGAACACCGAUGGCGAAGGCAGGUCACUGGGCCAUUACUAACGCUGAGGAGCGAAAGCAUGGGUAGCGAACAGG